CAGGCACUAAUAAAGGGUUUAU
rnacentral:miRNA from 1 species